CCCGCUGAACUUAAGCAUGUAUCAAUAAGCGGAAGGAAAAAGAAACCAACAGGUUGCCCUAGUAACGGCGAAGUGAAACGGCAACAGCUCAAAUUUGAAAUCUGGCUCUCGGGCUGAUUUGUAAUUUGUGGGGAUGCUUUGAUGCGGUGCCUUCCGAGUUCCCUGGAACAGGACAUAUAGAAGAUUGAGAGCCCCAUCUGGUCGGAUCACAAAUCUCUGUAAAACUCCUUCGACAAGUCGAUAGUUUGGGAAUGCUGCUCUAAAUGGGAAAUUAUAUAAUGUACAAAAGCUAAUACCGACCAGGAUGGAAAUAGCACUACAAGUAGGUGAUCAGAUGAAAGCACUUUGAAAGAGAGUUAAAAAGUACGUGUGAAAUUGUUGAAAGGGAAGCGUUUAUGACCAGACGGGCUUGGUUAAUCAUCUGGGGUCCUCCCAGUGCACUUUCCAGUCCGGAGCCAGCAUCCGAAGUUUUCGCCGGGGGAUAAAGAGCUUCCGGGGAAUGUGGCUCUCUCCGGGGAGUGUUAUAGCCGUUGCGUAAUACCCUGGCGGGGACUGAGGUUCGCGCAUCUGCAAGGAUGCUGGCAUGUGGUCAUAACGGCCGUCUUGAAACGGACAAAGGUCGUCUUCGUAUACUGCAGUGUUCGGGUGUCAAACCCCUACGCGUAAUGAAAGUGAACGCAGGUAGAAACUUCGGCGCAUCAUCGACCGAUCUGAUGUUCUCGGAUGGAUUUGAGUAAGAGCGCCCAGGAGGCCGGACGAAAGAAGGUGAGCUAUGCCUGUGUGGGGUGAAGCCAGAGAAAACUCUGGUGGAGAGCUCGCAGCAGUUCUGACGUGCAAAAUCGAUCGUCAAAACAUGGGCAUGGGGGCGAAAGACUAAUCGAACCUUCUAGUAGCUGGUUUCCCUUGAAAUUUCCCCUCAGGAUAGCAGUGUUGAACUCAGUUUUAUGAGGUAAAGCAGGUGUUCAGGGACUCGAGGGCGCUAUUUAGCCUUCAUCCAUUCUCAAACUUUAAAUAUGUAGAAGCUCUUGUCACUUGAGUGAACUGUGAGCAUUCGAAUGUAAUCAACACUAGUGGGCCAUUUUUGGUAAAGCAGAACUGGCGAUGCGGGAUGAGAACCGACGCGAGGUUAAAGGUGCCAGAGUGAGCGCUCAUCGAACACCACAAAGGUGUUGGUACACCUUGACAGCAGGACGGUGGCCAUGGAAGUCCGGAAUCCGCUAAGGACUGUGUAACAACUCACCCUGCCGAAUGUGUACUAGCCCCUGAAAAUGGAUGGCGCUCAAGCGUCUCACCCAUACCUCGCCCUCGGGGUAGAAACGAAGCCCUGAGGAGUAGGCGGACGUGGAGGUCAGUGACGAAGCCUGGGGGCGUGAGCCCGGGUUGGGCAGCUUACUCUAGUGCAGAUCUUGGUGGUAGUA
rnacentral:rRNA from 1 species